CACGGGCCACCCGCCGGGUAGUGGAUUCCCGCCCGGGAGUGAAGGCCGCCGUAGUGCCACCCUCCCGAAACACCGAGACCUUACCGGCUGGGCUAGAGGGCGGGCACCGCGCUGGAGCGGCCCGGCCUGGGCGAAGGGUCCUCCCUGCCUGGCACGGGUCCUGCUGCCAUCUGAGAGAAUCUCCUGUGCCUAUGGACAGUCACUGUUCAAGUCUCCCCAAGCCUCGAUGUCCCUGUAGAUGGAGAAAGGGAGGUCGUCGGAAAGCAUUUUGCCGAGGAUCACAAACUCAGUCUGUGGCGGAGUUGGUAGAAACCUUAAUUUCUGUCCCAUGUUCUAAUUAUGAGACGAUUCCUCCCACCCCGCAGUUACUUCUGUGCAGAUGAAGUAAUGGAGCUCUUCACCAUCCCACCCUGCCUUCUGUGCUGCUGCCGGGGCGGCACAGCGCCAGGCGGCUGGUUGGAAGAGAUGAAUGAAACUCUGGUGUUGUGAUUACGGCUCGUGAGCUGAGUGAGCGUAUCGUAUACAAGAUAUGACAUACAGCUAUUGCUACUCACAGACUGGAAGAUUGUAUAUAUAAUUGUUAUUCACCCCUGUUCUACUACUGAAGUUUAUAAAAGACUCUUCCAGUACCCAGCAGAAAAUGAGCUAAAUUUCUUAAGUUUUGCGUCUAAUCUACAAAAUCCAACACAGAAAUACAAGACUGAAGGCCUACUCUGUAGGGUUUACUUUUCCAAUAAGAAGUGAUAGAUUUUCUUGGGCAGAAGAUUGUAGAGGAACAGGGCUAUGCUGUUUUCCUGUAUAUGUUUCAAUAAACCUUCCCUCUUAGAGCUGACAUAGUCUGUAAGUGCAACAGCAUGAUUUUGUUUGUUCAACUCAUCCAGUAUGAGGUCUGUUGAAUUCCCCGGUGUAUCUCACCCACAUCUUAGACAUGAGUUUGGAGGGCUCAGCUCAUCGUGCAAGAGGCUGGCUCUCUCCUCUGGUUAGUUACCUAGAUGUGCAAAAGGAGUUUGAGACUAGUUUCCUCAGUCCCAGACGUGGUGAUGCUGUUUCAGAAAUGUUAAAGUGGUGUCCAAAUGUGACUAUGAAUAUUAAUUCAAUAGAGAAACUCGGUGAAAACAAGACUAAAGAAUUAGACACUUGAACUGCUACUUUGCUGCUUAUUAUAGAAGCCUUUGCCAGUGACUGAGGAGUGUAUGAGUCAGUUAAAAGCACUGCAGUGCUGGAGAAAAUGAUUCUCAAUUAUCAGAAUAAGAGGGAACAGAAUAAUGUGGAGUGGAAUUGGUUUUGAAACUGCUUAAAGUCACAAGGGAGUUUCACAUUAACUUUUUUUCUUUAGUAUACAAGAGUUCAUGGUGGGAUUGUCUGAAGGAUCUUUUUGACCUCAUCUCCUGUUUAGAAGAGAUUGUGUUUCUGUAAACCUACAGUACCUGUGUAAUUGGUUAAAAUGUGCUAGUCAUAAGCACAAGUUAAGUCUGCUUAAAUGUGAGAUUUACUCAAAGUGAAGUGAGCUGCUUGAUGUCACUGCAUUGCUCAUUGGCAAAACCUCAUUUCCUCUCUAUUACCUUAGGAAGCAAGUUACUUCCCUUUUAAAACAGAGAUAGGGGAGUCAGAAUCCGGGAUUUUUCUGUCCCGUGACCAUAAACCUCAAAUACAACAGUAGUACCUUGGAAGGGAGGGCCGUAAGUGUUAAAAAACUUUCUCUGAGUAGGACGGUCAGGGCUGGGGAUUCAUUCAGCUCCAGCACUUCCCACAUCUCCUCCUGGGUUUUGUUUCCCGUUCUACGUCCACAGUCUUGCCCACACCACUGUUCUUCAGGUUUUGCCGAAACUCAGGAUAUCCGUAGCUUCUUUGGGACUUUCACACAUUGCAAAACACUUUCCUGGUCAGCAAAUGGAGGAAAAAGUUGUUAAUGAAUGCAAAUUCACUCAUGGGAUUAAUCAGUACUUAAAAGCAAGAAAAGGGAAAAGAGGACCAGCUGCCUCAUCCUGAAACCAAAACCUCUUUUGUUUCUAGAACCUGUAUUUGAAUAACUACAAUGUAACAAUACAGAAUAACAGAAGUUUAUAAAGAAUACUUUUUUCUAUAGAACUGGCCUCCUCUAUGUGUUCUGAUUUUCUUCCUCUCAUCUUUAUGAAUCACUGUCAAGUCAGAAUUGCUGUAGCAGCUUUGCAUGUUACCUCUUUUUUUUUUUUUUUAAUUAAAGAACUGCACCUUCAUAUUUUCAAAAUUUCUUUACUGUCUCAAUUAUGCUGUGCAUUUAACCUGCCAUUUUUGCUCUCCCCAUAGAAGCUACAGCUGUUUACCAUGACUUGGAUAUUUUCUGCCUGUGACACAGAGAAUGCCUCUUCUGUUUCCACAGUUGUCCAGCGAGCUGGCCAGUGUGUGUAGCUGAGCCUGCUCCUCGCUCUCUUGGCUGGGAAACCUGCGUUUUGUGCCUCCAUUCACAGCAGCCCACUUCUCAGCCCACAGUGGACACAGACUGGUGAGUUGUACUACAAUGAGCUCUGAGGUAUCUAUGAUAAUUUCAUGACAACUUUGGUAAAUUGUAUAGUCAUCCUUGCAGAGAAUGAGGACUUUCUUCUACUGAUUUCUUGUUAAAGAUUAAUAGUGUGUUUUUCUAUAAAAAAACAUGUAUUGCCCAUGCACCUGUGCUGAUCAACAUAUUCAUAGGUGAUGUGGAAGAAGAGAUGGGGAGUAAAGUGGCAAAAUUUUGUGAUAAUACUGGGUUUCUCAGGGUCAUAGAAAUGAAAAUCCAACCAUGAAGAACUAUUGACCUCAUGUGAGGCAAAGGAUGUUGGAAUUGUAAUAAAAAUUCUGUGUUCUGUAUAAAAUGUCAGUAAAAUAUAUGUGUGUAUAUAUAUAUAUAUAUAUAAAGGAAAGAAUAGAAAACAGAAAGCAUCAUUGUGUCUCUGUACAGGUUUAUGGUCCUCUAGUUUUUGAAUGCUGCAAGCAGCUCUUGCCUUCAUAUCUGAAAAGAGAUGCAGCAGAACUAGAAAAGAGUGAUGUGGAUGACCAGGGAUAUGGGACAGCUUCUCCAUGAGCUGUAGCUGAUAGACAGACUCUUCAGCCUGAAAAGAAACCAGCCAAGAGAGGGUAUGAGAGGGAUCUGUAAACCACGGAUGACACAAAAGCCAUGAACAGAUGAACUGUCUCUCUUAAUAUAGGAGUUAGGGAGCAUCAGAUAAAAUUGUCAGCUGUCACAUUUCAGAGAGACAAAAGGAGAAAUUCCCCGAAACUCUCAAUGUUUUCAGAAAGCAAGUGGAUGUGUUUGUGGAAUAAAAACCCACCUAGAGCUGUUAAACACCAAGGUGCAGAGUUCUCUUUUUCAGCAAGUCCCUAAGACAGCCACAAGCUCCAGGUUCCAGCCCUACUGGAGCCUUUAUACAUAUGUUUAUUAUAGUUCCUGUGUUUGGCAGAGGACGUGUUCAGCUGGCCGCUGUUGCAGAGCGGUGCUGGGCUGGACUGAGAUGCAUGUCCCAGUGUGAGCAUUCUGACUUUUUUGUUUAUGAGCCUGCUCACUGAGGAAGCUCUGAAACCCUUUGAGUUGGCUGGGGCUGUGCUUCUGCAACCUUGCAGCACUGCAGGAGACACUUACCCUGGGAAGUGAUCAAAAGAAUAAGCAGGAGGCAGAAAUCUGCCUUUGAUAAGUCAGAGCUUUUUUUUUGAGUAAAAAAAAAAAAACCAACAAAAACCCAAUUGCCUCCUUCAUCCAUGGAAACAGACAAGUGUGGACAGAUGCCUGACUCCAUUAUCACCUUCUCCUUCACCAUGAAAAUGCCAAGCAAAGUCCUAAAGGCACUCUGAGGCCACAAAAUGGGUCAAUAAUGCUGGGGGUGGGGGGAGCAGUGAAGAAAUUCCCUUGCUGUGCUUGCUGGAGAGUGAAUCAAGCAGAUGCAAACAUACUUUCUGCAGCUGGGAGACGUCACUUGGGGGAUCCCUGAAGUGGGUCAGGGCAGAGGUCGUGCUCGCUGUUUUCAAAAUUUCCAGAGCAUCAGCAAGAAGGAGAGUUAUCCACUGUCAGCACAUCCAGAGGUAUGAUUGAGAACUACCAGGGGAAUCUUCUUCCCAGCAGCACACAGGAAAGCAAGAGUUUGAUGUUUGAAAAAGUCUGACUGACAGAAAUAUUGAACAGGCUUUCACUCAGCAGGAUGCGCACGUGUUGGCUUCUGGAGACCAGGGGGGACAGAAAUCACCUCGAGCAGCAGCUUCUUGGAGAACUGGGUGAUACUGUUUAGCCAGCAAGUGAAGAUUAGUGCUGAAGGAUUCAUCAUACCUACAGUCCCCUUUAGGCUGGCGAGAGCACUGUGAGAAGGUGGUGGAGAAAUAAAUGGUAGCAUAAGAAAAAGAAUUUUUAGAAGGGUCUUUGUUACCCCAUAUAUUCAUCUGUUGCUACUGUCAUGUUGCUUUUUAAUGAAUAAGGAAGGGAAGGAUAUGGGAGUGUAAAAUGCCUUCAUCCCAUU